rnacentral:rRNA from 1 species
GACGAACGCUGGCGGCGUGCUUAACACAUGCAAGUCGAACGGAAAGGCCCUGCUUUUGUGGGGUGCUCGAGUGGCGAACGGGUGGGUAACACGUGAGUAACCUGCCCUUGACUUUGGGAUAACUUCAGGAAACUGGGGCUAAUACCGGAUAGGAGCUCCUGCUGCAUGGUGGGGGUUGGAAAGUUUCGGCGGUUGGGGAUGGACUCGCGGCUUAUCAGCUUGUUGGUGGGGUAGUGGCUUACCAAGGCUUUGACGGGUAGCCGGCCUGAGAGGGUGACCGGCCACAUUGGGACUGAGAUACGGCCCAGACUCCUACGGGAGGCAGCAGGGGGGAAUAUUGCACAAGGGGCGGAAGCCUGAUGCAGCAACGCCGCGUGCGGGAUGACGGCCUUCGGGUUGUAAACCGCUUUCGCCUGUGACGAAGCGUGAGUGACGGUAAUGGGUAAAGAAGCACCGGCUAACUACGUG